UCGAAUUCUUCUCAUUUGGAUCAAACACAGAUACAUCAGUCUCUUCUCCGUCAUCAAGAGACAGAAGCAUGAAGCCUCGUCAUUGCAGCAAAAGAUAGUGAUCAAAGUGCAGAUAAACUGCAACAAAUGCCGCUCCAAAGCAAUGCGGCUUGUUGCUUCAGCAGAAGGGGUUGACUCAGUCGCAGUGGAAGGGGAGGACAAGGAUCAGU